UACCAGCACCCCGAGUGGUCGGGACGUUUAUUGGGCCUAAAGCAUCCGUAGCCGGUUCUACAAGUCUUCCGUUAAAUCCAACUGCUUAACAGGUGGGCUGCGGAAGAUACUAUAGAGCUAGGAGGCGGGAGAGGCAAGCGGUACUCGAUGGGUAGGGGUAAAAUCCGUUGAUCCAUUGAAGACCACCAGUGGCGAAGGCGGCUUGCCAGAACGCGCUCGACGGUGAGGUAUGAAAGCUGGGGGAGCAAACCGG
rnacentral:rRNA from 1 species